CACCGGCGGCCCGAGUGGUAGCCGCUAUUAUUGGGUCUAAAGGGUCCGUAGCCGGUUUGAUCAGUCUUCCGGGAAAUCUGACAGCUCAACUGUUAGGCUUCUGGGGGAUACUGUCAGACUUGGAACCGGGAGAGGUAAGAGGUACUACAGGGGUAGGAGUGAAAUCUUGUAAUCCUUGUGGGACCACCAGUGGCGAAGGCGGCUUGCCAGAAACGCGCUCGACGGUGAGGGAUGAAAGCUGGGGGAGCGAACCGGAUUAGAUACCCGGGUAGUCCCAGCUGUAAACGAUGCAGGCUAGGUGUUUGGACGGCCACGUGCCGUUCUAGUGCCGCAGGGAAGCCGUUAAGCCUGCCGCCUGGGGAGUACGGCCGCAAGGCUGAAACUUAAAGGAAUUGGCGGGGAGCACCACAAGGGGUGAAGCUUGCGGUUU
rnacentral:rRNA from 1 species